GCCUUGAUGGCGAAAUGGUAGACGCGCGAGACUCAAAAUCUCGUGCUGAAGAGCGUGGAGGUUCGAGUCCUCUUCAAGGCA
rnacentral:tRNA from 1 species